rnacentral:rRNA from 1 species
GGGCCCGCACAAGCGGUGGAGCAUGUGGUUUAAUUCGAUGCAACGCGAAGAACCUUACCUACCCUUGACAUCCAUAGGAUUUUGCAGAGAUGCGAAAGUGCCGAAAGGAACUAUGAGACAGGUGCUGCAUGGCUGUCGUCAGCUCGUGUUGUGAGAUGUUGGGUUAAGUCCCGUAACGAGCGCAACCCUUAUCUUUAGUUGCCAUCACGUAAUGGUGGGGACUCUAAAGAGACUGCUGGUGAUGAACCGGAGGAAGGCGGGGACGACGUCAAGUCAUCAUGGCCUUUAUGGGUAGGGCUACACACGUGCUACAAUGGUCGGUACAGAGGGGCGCCAACUCGCGAGAGGGAGCCAAUCCCAGAAAGCCGAUCGUAGUCCGGAUUGGAGUCUGCAACUCGACUCCAUGAAGUCGGAAUCGCUAGUAA